UUUAGUUUAAAUGUGAUAGACAUAAUCUACUAGAUCAAAACUACCCUGUGCCUUGUCAUCACUGGUUUAGCAUACUGACCACAUGUAGACUAGAGAUUGUGUGCAUAUGAAUCUUCACGUAGGAAGUGAGAACCCAAGAGCAAACACAUGGGAAACUUCAGGUGCCG